GGGGGCAAGACUGGUGUCAGCCGCCGCGGUAAUACCAGCCCCCUGAGUGGUAAGGACGAUUAUUUGGCCUAAAGCGUUCGUAGCCGGCUUAUCAAGUCUUUUGUUAAAUCCAACGAUUCAAUCGUUGGGCCGCAAAAGAUACUGUUAUGCUAGAGGACGGGAGAGGUCGACGGUAGUCCAGGGGUAGGGGUGAAAUCCUAUAAUCCUUGGAGGACCACCAGUGGCGAAGGCGGUCGACUAGAACGUGCCUGACGGUGAGGGACGAAAGCUGGGGGAGCGAACCGGAUUAGAUACCCGGGUAGUCCCAGCUGUAAACGAUGCGGGCUAGGUGUUGGGGCAGCCACGAGCUGCUCCAGUGCCGCAGAGAAGUUGUUAAGCCCGCCGCCUGGGAGU
rnacentral:rRNA from 1 species